rnacentral:tRNA from 519 species
CGGAGUGUAGCGCAGCCCGGUAGCGCACUUGACUGGGGGUCAAGGGGUCGUCGGUUCGAAUCCGGCCACUCCGACCA